CAUGUACUUCCUCCGUCCGAAAAUACUUGUCACCAAAAUGGAUGAAAAGAGAUGUAUCUAGAACUAAAAUACAUCUAGAUACAUCCCCUUUUAUCCAUUUUAAUGACAAGUAUUUCCGGACGGAGGGAGUACAAG
rnacentral:pre_miRNA from 1 species